GAACUUUUAGGAGUGAGAUUUCAACGCUUAUAUGACUUUGAAACUGGUUUUAUGGAGUGCUACAUGGCUACAAGUCAUAAGCCAGUGCUGAAGGACACGUGUUUUCCAAGGGUCAGCAACCUAGUGCAGCAUUUUAAAUAUUAGUGUCAUGAGAGACAACAAAGGGAGAUGCUCGG
rnacentral:lncRNA from 12 species